GACGAACGCUGGCGGCGUGCUUAACACAUGCAAGUCGAACGGUGAAAGCGGAGCUUGCUCCGCUGGAUCAGUGGCGAACGGGUGAGUAACACGUGGGCAACCUGCCCCUCACUUCGGGAUAACUCCGGGAAACCGGGGCUAAUACCGGAUAUGACCUCCUUGGGCAUCCUUGGAGGUGGAAAGUUUUUCGGUGAGGGAUGGGCCCGGGGCCUAUCAGCUUGUUGGUGAGGUAGUGGCUUACCAAGGGGACGACGGGUAGCCGGCCUGAGAGGGCGACCGGCCACACUGGGACUGAGACACGGCCCAGACUCCUACGGGAGGCAGCAGUGGGGAAUAUUGCGCAAUGGGCGAAAGCCUGACGCAGCAACGCCGCGUGCGGGAUGACGGCCUUCGGGUUGUAAACCGCUUUCAGCAGGGAAGAAGCCGCAAGGUGACGGUACCUGCAGAAGAAGCACCGGCUAACUACGUGCCAGCCGCCGCGGUAA
rnacentral:rRNA from 1 species